rnacentral:rRNA from 1 species
AGAGUUUGAUCCUGGCUCAGAACAAACGCUGGCGGCGUGCCUAACACAUGCAAGUCGUACGAGAAAUCCUGGGCAACUGGGAGAGUAAAGUGGCGCACGGGUGAGUAACGCGUGGGUAACCUACCCUUGAAUUGGGGAUAACUCUUCGAAAGGGGAGUUAAUACCGAAUAAUAUUCCGGUAUUUUCGAACAUUGGAAUCAAAGGUGGCCUCUGCAUGCAAGCUAUCGUUUAAGGAUGGGCCCGCGUACCAUUAGCUAGUUGGUAGGGUAAUGGCCUACCAAGGCAACGAUGGUUAGCUGGUCUGAGAGGAUGGCCAGCCACACUGGAACUGAGACACGGUCCAGACUCCUACGGGAGGCAGCAGUGGGGAAUCUUGCGCAAUGGGGGAAACCUUGACGCAGCAACGCCACGUGGGUGAUGAAGGCCUUCGGGUCGUAAAGCCCUGUCAGGUGGAAAGAAACUUGUGGAUGAUAACACCAUUCACACUUGACGGUACCACCGGAGGAAGCACCGGCUAACUCCGUGCCAGCAGCCGCGGUAAUACGGAGGGUGCAAGCGUUGUUCGGAAUUAUUGGGCGUAAAGCGCGUGUAGGUGGUCGGGUAAGUCAGAUGUGAAAGCCUUCUGCUUAACAGAAGAAGUGCAUUUGAAACUACUCGGCUGGAGUACGGGAGAGGAGAGUGGAAUUCCCGGUGUAGAGGUGAAAUUCGUAGAUAUCGGGGAGGAACACCAGUGGCGAAGGCGGCUCUCUGGUCCGAUACUGACACUGAGACGCGAAAGCGUGGGGAGCAAACAGGAUUAG